GACGAACGCUGGCGGCGUGCUUAACACAUGCAAGUCGAACGGAAAGGCCCUGCUUUUGUGGGGUGCUCGAGUGGCGAACGGGUGAGUAACACGUGAGUAACCUGCCCUUGACUUUGGGAUAACUUCAGGAAACUGGGGCUAAUACCGGAUAGGAGCUCCUGCUGCAUGGUGGGGGGUGGAAAGUUUCGGCGGUUGGGGAUGGACUCGAGGCUUAUCAGCUUGUUGGUGGGGUAGGGGCUUACCAAGGGUUUGACGGGUAGCCGGCCUGAGAGGGUGACCGGCCACAUUGGGACUGAGAUACGGCCCAGACUCCUACGGGAGGCAGCAGUGGGGAAUAUUGCACAAUGGGCGGAAGCCUGAUGCAGCAACGCCGCGUGCGGGAUGACGGCCUUCGGGUUGUAAACCGCUUUCGCCUGUGACGAAGCGUGAGUGACGGUAAUGGGUAAAGAAGCACCGGCUAACUACGUG
rnacentral:rRNA from 1 species